UCUGCAUAGGUGAAAGUUAUUGGACUCAAGU
rnacentral:piRNA from 1 species